CCUGACCGUUGGGCCCCCGACAUAGCCCUGAAAUUGAGCAAUAGGAAUCUGCCCUGGUGUUGUCCCUGCUGCCUGGCUGGCCCUGCUUGGCACAUGCGGAGAGGUGGUGCUGUUGCUACCUACUGUGUGCAGAGGACAAUAUGGCCGAGGUGUACUUAGAACCUGUGUUUUUGUUUUUUUUUUCCUUGCUUUUGUUUCUUGUUCCUGUGCCAUGCUUCAGUACAGAGCACUGUGUACUUGGGACAUUAUGAGGAGAGGGGUGGAUGGAAAAUGACCUUCCUUCUGCCCCACAGUGAGGCGCAGCCCUUCACCCUGCACCCCGUCUGCCUCUCACCAACCCUGCACCCCGUUGGCCUCUCACCCGCCCAGGCUGGCAGGAAAGUCCCUGCCAGUUUCUUUUCUUGCCACUGAAGGAGGUGACAGGUGUUAGAGACUCCUUCUUCAGGAUUCAGCUCCGUAGACUGAGCAAACCACUAAGCAUCCCCCACCCCAUCAUGGCCUCUGCAUCAGCUCCUGCCUCCAGCUCCCUGCCCUGCUCGGGUUC